GUCUAUGGCCAUGCCACCCUGAACGUGCCCAAUUUCAUCUGAUCCCAGAAGCCGAGCAGGGUCGGGCCUGGUUAGUACUUCGAUGGGAGACCACCUAGGAAUACCAGGUGCUAUAGGCG
rnacentral:rRNA from 1 species